AGAGUUUGAUCAUGGCUCAGAUUGAACGCUGGCGGCAGGCCUAACACAUGCAAGUCGAACGGUAACAGGAAGCAGCUUGCUGCUUUGCUGACGAGUGGCGGACGGGUGAGUAAUGUCUGGGAAACUGCCUGAUGGAGGGGGAUAACUACUGGAAACGGUGGCUAAUACCGCAUAACGUCGCAAGACCAAAGAGGGGGACCUUCGGGCCUCUUGCCAUCAGAUGUGCCCAGAUGGGAUUAGCUUGUUGGUGAGGUAACGGCUCACCAAGGCGACGAUCCCUAGCUGGUCUGAGAGGAUGACCAGCCACACUGGAACUGAGACACGGUCCAGACUCCUACGGGAGGCAGCAGUGGGGAAUAUUGCACAAUGGGCGCAAGCCUGAUGCAGCCAUGCCACGUGUAUGAAGAAGGCCUUCGGGUUGUAAAGUACUUUCAGCGGGGAGGAAGGUGUUGUGGUUAAUAACCGCAGCAAUUGACGUUACCCGCAGAAGAAGCACCGGCUAACUCCGUGCCAGCAGCCGCGGUAAUACGGAGGGUGCAAGCGUUAAUCGGAAUUACUGGGCGUAAAGCGCACGCAGGCGGUCUGUCAAGUCGGAUGUGAAAUCCCCGGGCUCAACCUGGGAACUGCAUUCGAAACUGGCAGGCUUGAGUCUUGUAGAGGGGGGUAGAAUUCCAGGUGUAGCGGUGAAAUGCGUAGAGAUCUGGAGGAAUACCGGUGGCGAAGGCGGCCCCCUGGACAAAGACUGACGCUCAGGUGCGAAAGCGUGGGGAGCAAACAGGAUUAGAUACCCUGGUAGUCCACGCCGUAAACGAUGUCUACUUGGAGGUUGUGCCCUUGAGGCGUGGCUUCCGGAGCUAACGCGUUAAGUAGACCGCCUGGGGAGUACGGCCGCAAGGUUAAAACUCAAAUGAAUUGACGGGGGCCCGCACAAGCGGUGGAGCAUGUGGUUUAAUUCGAUGCAACGCGAAGAACCUUACCUGGUCUUGACAUCCACAGAACUUUCCAGAGAUGGAUUGGUGCCUUCGGGAACUGUGAGACAGGUGCUGCAUGGCUGUCGUCAGCUCGUGUUGUGAAAUGUUGGGUUAAGUCCCGCAACGAGCGCAACCCUUAUCCUUUGUUGCCAGCGGUCCGGCCGGGAACUCAAAGGAGACUGCCAGUGAUAAACUGGAGGAAGGUGGGGAUGACGUCAAGUCAUCAUGGCCCUUACGACCAGGGCUACACACGUGCUACAAUGGCGCAUACAAAGAGAAGCGACCUCGCGAGAGUAAGCGGACCUCAUAAAGUGCGUCGUAGUCCGGAUUGGAGUCUGCAACUCGACUCCAUGAAGUCGGAAUCGCUAGUAAUCGUGGAUCAGAAUGCCACGGUGAAUACGUUCCCGGGCCUUGUACACACCGCCCGUCACACCAUGGGAGUGGGUUGCAAAAGAAGUAGGUAGCUUAACCUUCGGGGGGGCGCUUACCACUUUGUGAUUCAUGACUGGGGUGAAGUCGUAACAAGGUAACCGUAGGGGAACCUGCGGUUG
rnacentral:rRNA from 1 species